rnacentral:rRNA from 1 species
ACUUAAAAUGGAACCUUGUCUUUGUUGUUUGUAGGUUUGAAUUUGAAUUUAAAGAAGUGUUAUUGUUGUUGAGCUAGUAAUUGGGAAAGAAAGUUUUAAUAGGACUAUAGUUGAGAAGUAUUGUGAAAGAAAGGUUUAGAUAUUAGUGUGUUAAGUUUAAGUAAAAAUGAAUAUUUGUACCUUUUGUAUUAGGGAUAAUCAAUGUUAUUGGUAGAUAUUACUAAAGUCUCGAAGUGGGGAGAGCUAAUUCUUUGUGUGUUAUUAUGUAGUAAAAUAAUAUAUAAUUGGGGGUUAGUAAUGAUAUUUUAGUCGAGUCUCAUAUAUCUAGUUUUCUUUGAGAUAAAUUUAAUUUAGUCAUUAAGCUUAAGUGAGUUUAGUGAGAAAAAGCAGAGGGGAAGAGCUCUUUGUUUGUGAGUUUAUAGAGACAGAAAGUUAUUAAUAUUGAGUUAGGCUUAAAAGCAGCCAGAUUUAUAGGGCGUUCUAGCUAAGUUAUUAAUUGGGAAAUUUUAUGUGUUUCUUGGGGAGGUUAAGAGAAAGUAGCUCGGAUUGUAAGCGAGCUAGUUAAAAUGAUUAUAUAAGUAUAUAGUGUUGUUGAGUUUAUAUUUUAAAUAAAAAAAAAAUUUAUUUGAGAGGAGAUAUAGAAGAGGAACUCGGCAAGAAGUACUUCUGCCUGUUUAUCAAAAACAUGUCUGUAUGGAUAUAAUAUAAAGUCUGGCCUGCCCACUGAGUUUUAAAGGGCCGCGGUAAUUUGACCGUGCGAAGGUAGCAUAAUCAAUAGUCUCUUAAUUGGAGGCUGGAAUGAAGGGUCGUACAAGAAGUAGUCUGUCUUUUUUAUAUAGAUUGAAUUUAACUUUUAAGUGAAAAGGCUUAGAUUUUCUGGGGGGACGAUAAGACCCUAUAAAACUUUACAUGAGUGGGUUUGUUUUUGAAUUAGGGUAUGAAUAAAAAUUAUCUUUAUCUUGUUACGUUGGGGCGAUGAAAAUAUAAUUUGUAACUGUUUGUUAGUUUAAAAUAAAAGUAUUUAGGUAGAUUGAUCCUGUAUUAUGGAUUAUAAGAGUAAGUUACUUUAGGGAUAACAGCGUGAUUUUUUCUGAGAGUUCUUAUCGACGAAAGUAGUUGCGACCUCGAUGUUGAAUUAAAGUUUCAUCAAGGUGUAGAAGCUUUGAUUGUGGGUCUGUUCGACCUUUAAAACUUUACAUGAUUUGAGUUCAAACCGGUGUGAGCCAGGUUGGUUUCUAUCUUUUAGGUUUAGAGAAGUGGCUUUAGUACGAAAGGACCGGGCCACUAGAAUAUUUCUUUGGAGUGGAUGAAUAUUAAA